GAUGAACGCUGGCGGCGUGCCUAAUACAUGCAAGUCGAGCGAACGGACGAGAAGCUUGCUUCUUUGAUGUUAGCGGCGGACGGGUGAGUAACACGUGGAUAACCUACUUAUAAGACUGGGAUAAUUUCGGGAAACCGGAGCUAAUACCGGAUGAUAUUUUGAACCGCAUGGUUCAAAAGUGAAAGACGGCCUUGCUGUCACUUAUAGAUGGAUCCGCGCUGCAUUAGCUAGUUGGUAAGGUAACGGCUUACCAAGGCAACGAUGCGUAGCCGACCUGAGAGGAUGAUCGGCCACACUGGAACUGAGACACGGUCCAGACUCCUACGGGAGGCAGCAGUAGGGAAUCUUCCGCAAUGGGCGAAAGCCUGACGGAGCAACGCCGCGUGAGUGAUGAAGGUCUUCGGAUCGUAAAACUCUGUUAUUAGGGAAGAACAUAUGUGUAAGUAACUGUGCACAUCUUGACGGUACCUAAUCAGAAAGCCACGGCUAACUACGUG
rnacentral:rRNA from 1 species